CCUACGGGCGGCAGCAGUAGGGAAUAUUGCGCAAUGGGGGAAACCCUGAAGCAGCAACGCCGCGUGGAGGAUGAAGGUUUUCGGAUCGUAAACUCCUGUUAUUAGAGAAGAUAAUGCCGGUAUGUAACGAAUAAGCACCGGCUAAAUCCGUGCCAACAGCCGCGGUAAUACGGAGGGUGCAAGCGUUAUGCGGAAUCACUGGGCGUAAAGAGCGCGUAGGCGGGAUAGCAAGUCAGAUGUGAAAGCCUAUGGCUUAACCAUAGAACUGCAAUUGAAACUGUAAUUCUAGAGUAUGAGAGAGGUAGGUAGAAUUCUUGGUGUAGCGGUAAAAUGCGUAGAGAUCAAGAGGAAUACUCUUUGCGAAGGCGACCAGCUAGAUCAUAACUGACGCUGAUGCGCGAAAGCGUGGGGAGCAAACAGGAUUAGAUACCCUUGUAGUC
rnacentral:rRNA from 1 species